GAUGAACGCUGGCGGCGUGCCUAAUACAUGCAAGUCGAGCGAACAGAUGAGGAGCUUGCUCCUCUGACGUUAGCGGCGGACGGGUGAGUAACACGUGGAUAACCUACCUAUAAGACUGGGAUAACUUCGGGAAACCGGAGCUAAUACCGGAUAAUAUAUUGAACCGCAUGGUUCAUAGUGAAAGACGGUUUUGCUGUCACUUAUAGAUGGAUCCGCGCCCCAUUAGCUAGUUGGUAAGGUAACGGCUUACCAAGGCAACGAUGCGUAGCCGACCUGAGAGGGUGAUCGGCCACACUGGAACUGAGACACGGUCCAGACUCCUACGGGAGGCAGCAGUAGGGAAUCUUCCGCAAUGGGCGAAAGCCUGACGGAGCAACGCCGCGUGAGUGAUGAAGGUCUUCGGAUCGUAAAACUCUGUUAUUAGGGAAGAACAAAUGUGUAAGUAACUAUGCACGUCUUGACGGUACCUAAUCAGAAAGCCACGGCUAACUACGUG
rnacentral:rRNA from 1 species